rnacentral:rRNA from 1 species
UACGUAGGGUCCAAGCGUUGUCCGGAUUUACUGGGUGUAAAGGGUGCGCAGGCGGACUUGUGCGUCAGAGGUUAAAUACAUCGGCUCAACCGAUGAGCUGCCUUUGAUACGGCAAGUCUUGAGUACGAGAGAGGAUGGUGGAAUUCCUGGUGUAGCGGUGAAAUGCGUAGAUAUCAGGAGGAACACCAGUGGCGAAGGCGGCCAUCUGGCUCGUAACUGACGCUCAGGCACGAAAGCGUGGGGAGCAAACAGG